rnacentral:rRNA from 1 species
GAUGAACGCUGGCGGCGUGCUUAACACAUGCAAGUCGAACGGAAAGGCCCAAGCUUUCUUGGGUACUCGAGUGGCGAACGGGUGAGUAACACGUGGGUGAUCUGCCCUUCACUUCGGGAUAAGCCUGGGAAACUGGGGCUAAUACCGGAUAGGACGAUGUGUUGCAUGCCAUUGUGUAAAGUUUUUCCGGUGUGGGAUGAGCUCGCGACCUAUCAGCUUGUGGUUGGGGUAAUGGCGUACCAAGGCGUCGACGGGUAGCCGGCCUGAGAGGGUGUACGGCCACAUCUGGGGUGUGAUACAGCCCAGACUCGUACAUGGGGCGGCAGUGGGGAAUAUUGCACAAUGGGCGCGAGCGUGAUGCAGCGACGCCGCGUGGGCGAUGACGGCUUUCGGGUUGUAAACUCCUUUCUCUAGGGACGUAGCGUUUUUGUGACGGUACCUGGACAAGAAGCACCGGCUAACUACGUG